rnacentral:rRNA from 1 species
UACGAAGGGGGCUAGCGUUGUUCGGAAUUACUGGGCGUAAAGCGCGCGCAGGCGGCCUUCCAAGUCAGUGGUGAAAGCCCGGAGCUCAACUCCGGAACUGCCAUUGAAACUGUGAGACUUGAGUAUGAGAGAGGUGAGUGGAAUUCCCAGUGUAGAGGUGAAAUUCGUAGAUAUUGGGAAGAACACCGGUGGCGAAGGCGGCUCACUGGCUCAUUACUGACGCUCAGGCGCGACAGCGUGGGGAUCAAACAGG